rnacentral:lncRNA from 1 species
CUCAGGGUUGCUUCUUGGUGAUCAGAGUCGAAAAGUAGCUUCUCCUGGAAAGUAAGUAACCAGUUAUUUUAUUUAUUAGUUCAAUAAAUCAACAUUUUCCACAGCACAAACAUGGGUUUGAUUGUAGUCAGAAAAUUGCAGCUUCAGUCCAGCCGCUUGAAUUUGUGUCUCGACAAGCGCAAUUCAAUCUCAAAGCCUAUAUUCAUUGUACACCCUAUUCAAUUGUGAACAGGUUUAAUUACCACAAGUGCAAACUGCAGUAGGUGGCAAGACCAUGAAUGAAUGAUUCAACUUUAAGACACGUUUUGCUCACGCAUCAAAGCUUCAAUCUUGCCAACAUCUUCUGGGGCAUCAACACCAUGACCUUCGUGCUCAACUUUUAUAACCUGCGAAAAAACAAGUCAUUGCAUACUCUACUUAGCAUAAAUGUUGCUUGCAGCAGAUUGAAAACAGAGAUACUCAGUCAAGAUCAAACACAAGGCCGGGGAAAAGCAGUUUACCUUCAUUUUAUAGCCAUUCUCAAGGACCUUCAGCUGUUCGAGAUCCUCUUCUAGUUGUAGAGGAGUAGGUUUAAGUUUUGGGUAUACCUUCAGAAACUUUGCAUCGUACCUCUCGAAUCCGAAGGAAAAAGGUGAGUCAAUACUUGUAACGGUACUAGAUUUUUAUGGGGGUAGUAAAUAAGUAUUUAGGAAUGUCAGGAUGUGGCGAGUUAGUAUUUUUAAAAUACUUUAAGAAAAUGUUUUCAAGGAUCGGGUGUUUCAAAAAAGAAACGUUUUCGUAAUUUGUCAAUUUUAAACGAUCAUUCUCUCACCAACUCUAAAAAGAUAAAAAAAAGAGGUUGAGGAACCAAAGAUAAAAUACCUUACUUCUGAUUGGAC